CAAAAGUCCUUAAAUUUGUACAGACAUCUAUUUUUUUCACUUUUCCAAACUAAAUUCAAUUACUAUUUAGCUUAAAAAUUGGAACAGAAGAAACACAAAAAUUGUUGUAAACAAAUUCACUGGCUUGACAUAUGUCAAAAUUUAAUUUCUUAUUGGGGAAAGAUCUUUCAAUAUUUUUUUCUUCACUAGUUUGGGAUUUUUCUUUUCUACAAGCAAGACGCACAACAAAUUUCAUUCACAGACGCGAAACAUAUGGGCGACCAAUCAGAAAGCGUCUUGUAUGAUGAAGAAUAUAAUAGCACGACGUACAGUGCCAUCUACGUGGAAGCAACACUUAUAUGUAAAAAAAUAUUUAUGGAACUGAAAGGAAAUUACAUUGAAGAAAUACUUUCUGUGAAAAAGUAAACAAAUCACCUUUCAAUAAAAGAUCGGUUCCGAUGACACUGGUUUUUACAAAUGAAUUUAAACUUUCUUCUGAAAAGGCUUGGCAACGCUGCACAAUGUUCGAAAAUGGCGUAAAUGAAGCUCAGCAUACAAACGAGUUUUUAAUGAAAUUCUAUGAUUCAAGGCAAUUUAACGGAAAAAUCGCACUUCACUGUGGUUAACAUUUAAAAUAUAAUCAAUAAACUUGUACUUUAAAAUUACAGAAAUAAAUACCAAUAUUUAUUCAAAUAAUA